rnacentral:rRNA from 1 species
CUCAGGACGAACGCUGGCGGCGUGCCUAAUACAUGCAAGUCGAGCGGAGUUGAUGGAGUGCUUGCACUCCUGAUACUCAGCGGCGGACGGGUGAGUAACACGUAGGUAACCUGCCUGUAAGACUGGGAUAACUACCGGAAACGGUAGCUAAUACCGGAUAAUACAUUUUCUCUCCUGAGGAGAUGUUGAAAGGCGGAGCAAUCUGUCACUUAUAGAUGGACCUGCGGCGCAUUAGCUAGUUGGUGAGGUAACGGCUCACCAAGGCGACGAUGCGUAGCCGACCUGAGAGGGUGAACGGCCACACUGGGACUGAGACACGGCCCAGACUCCUACGGGAGGCAGCAGUAGGGAAUCUUCCGCAAUGGACGAAAGUCUGACGGAGCAACGCCGCGUGAGUGAUGAAGGUUUUCGGAUCGUAAAGCUCUGUUGCCAGGGAAGAAGAUUCAGGAGAGUAACUGCUCUUGAAGUGACGGUACCUGAGAAGAAAGCCCCGGCUAACUACGUGCCAGCAGCCGCGGUAAUACGUAGGGGGCAAGCGUUGUCCGGAAUUAUUGGGCGUAAAGCGCGCGCAGGCGGUCAUUUAAGUUUGGUGUUUAAUCCCGGGGCUCAACCCCGGGUCGCACUGAAAACUGGGUGACUUGAGUACAGAAGAGGAGAGUGGAAUUCCACGUGUAGCGGUGAAAUGCGUAGAUAUGUGGAGGAACACCAGUGGCGAAGGCGACUCUCUGGGCUGUAACUGACGCUGAGGCGCGAAAGCGUGGGGAGCAAACAGGAUUAGAUACCCUGGUAGUCCACGCCGUAAACGAUGAGUGCUAGGUGUUAGGGGUUUCGAUACCCUUGGUGCCGAAGUUAACACAUUAAGCACUCCGCCUGGGGAGUACGGUCGCAAGACUGAAACUCAARGGAAUUGACGGGGACCCGCACAAGCAGUGGAGUAUGUGGUUUAAUUCGAAGCAACGCGAAGAACCUUACCAGGUCUUGACAUCCCUCUGAAUCUACUAGAGAUAGUAGCGGCUUCGGGACAGAGGAGACAGGUGGUGCAUGGUUGUCGUCAGCUCGUGUCGUGAGAUGUUGGGUUAAGUCCCGCAACGAGCGCAACCCUUAUGUUUAGUUGCCAGCACAUUAUGGUGGGCACUCUAGACAGACUGCCGGUGACAAACCGGAGGAAGGUGGGGAUGACGUCAAAUCAUCAUGCCCCUUAUGACCUGGGCUACACACGUACUACAAUGGCCGGUACAA